UGGGGAAUAUUGGACAAUGGGGGCAACCCUGAUCCAGCCAUGCCGCGUGUGUGAAGAAGGCCUUUUGGUUGUAAAGCACUUUAAGCAGGGAGGAGAGGCUAAUGGUUAAUACCCAUUAGAUUAGACGUUACCUGCAGAAAAAGCACCGGCUAACUCUGUGCCAGCAGCCGCGGUAAUACAGAGGGUGCGAGCGUUAAUCGGAAUUACUGGGCGUAAAGCGAGUGUAGGUGGCUCAUUAAGUCACAUGUGAAAUCCCCGGGCUUAACCUGGGAACUGCAUGUGAUACUGGUGGUGCUAGAAUAUGUGAGAGGGAAGUAGAAUGCCAGGUGUAGCGGUGAAAUGCGUAGAGAUCUGGAGGAAUACCGAUGGCGAAGGCAGCUUCCUGGCAUAAUAUUGACACUGAGAUUCGAAAGCGUGGGUAGCAAACAGG
rnacentral:rRNA from 1 species